GGGCCCGCACAAGCGGUGGAGCAUGUGGUUUAAUUCGAUGCAACGCGAAGAACCUUACCAGGGCUUGACAUACUACAAAUCUUUUCGAAACGAAAGAGUGCCUUCGGGAAUGUAGAUACAGGUGGUGCAUGGCUGUCGUCAGCUCGUGUCGUGAGAUGUUGGGUUAAGUCCCGCAACGAGCGCAACCCUCAUUUUUAGUUGCCAAUUUAUUGGGAUUUCUAGAGAGACUGCCGGUGACAAACCGGAGGAAGGUGAGGAUGACGUCAAGUCAGCAUGCCCCUUAUGCCCUGGGCCACACACGUGCUACAAUGGCGAAGACAAAGAGUCGCAAACCUGCGAAGGCUAGCUAAUCUCGUAAACUUCGUCUAAGUUCGGAUUGCAGGCUGCAACUCGCCUGCAUGAAGUUGGAAUCGCUAGUAAUCG
rnacentral:rRNA from 1 species